rnacentral:lncRNA from 1 species
AAGUUACGGAAAAUCAACUAACGAACGGAGACGUAACAAUAUUGUAGGCUGUCCAGUACAGUUGACUGAAAACAUAAUUUAACAGUUGUGGCUUAUUAUAUAAUGGUCUGUGCUGUGCCCAACAUGGAUAUCGAAAUAUGGUUUUUAGUGUUAUAAUUCGCUGAGUCACUGAGAGGCUUUAUUAUAUUUUCAUUCCUUUUUUUUUAUGUUGUUACUAAAAGUAAUUAUAGAGGAUAUCACAACCAUUGACGACACCGGAAGUGCAAAACUUAGCGCUGUACGCAACUGGUAGAGGCGUAUGAAACGCACUAGAAAACGUCUGAACCCUAACGAAUGAUUAUGGCUUAUUCUGUAAGAGUAGCUCGAAAUUUACUUUAUUUACGAUCUGAAUUCAUGUUUAAACUCAAACGGAGUCCGCAAAAAUCGUUGAUUCAAAACAGAACAAAAGUUACAACAGAAACUGGAGCUUUUCUUCCUGAACCGGAAAGAGUUCCUUUUGGUAUCAUACGAACAAUUUUUGUGUUCUUACCAGGGUUGUAUUUAGGAGCAACACUCAGCAAGGAAGGCGCAGCUUUUCUUGAGGAAAAUGAUAUUUUCGUUCCCGAUGAAGACGAAGAAGAUUAGAAAUAUAUAUUGUUGAAUCUCCAGUAAGCUAACAUUUUGUGAAGUACCAGAGAAACUAGAUGGAGACAGUUUUGAUGUUUCAUUCUCCUUGUUUGAUCUAGGUUAAAGAUGUACAGCACUAGUCUAUAUAGUUAGUAAAUACCAAUGAUCUAACUUUGUAAAAUCCUAAAACUGCAUAUUUUUCGUAAAAUAAUUUAUUAUAUUUACCUAACUGUAUAUCAUACUGUUUGUUUGUAAAUUUAUUGAAAUUAUAAAUUGUUCAGUGUGUUUGAAGUUGAAAUAAAAUGAUUAUGAUAUCAUACUUAAAGCUAAGAUUAAAUUAUUAUGUGAUAAAUCUGUUAUAAAAAUACUUAAUGUAUAGUAAAACUUUGAAUUUAAUGCUAAAGAAGUAUUACAUGGUACGGCAUUUACAAAGCAUUUUAAAUUUCAAGUACACGUACUUGUUUUAUCAAGGAAUAAUAAAUUCAUUAUGUACUCUGUAGUAUCAACGUCAGUGGUGUGUAAUUUCAUAUUUGUAUUGAAUUUAACAGCAUGAGUGACCCCUUUACCCACUUGGUAUUUCAGUUUAGGUUUUACACAGUUCAAGGAUAUGAUGAAAAGUGACUUUUUUUGUUGAUGUUUCAUCCUAUGCAUGAUACCAUGGUCAACAUUUGUAUGAAAUUUGUUUUUGUCAUUUUACAUUUGUUGGUUCACUUUUAAGUUAACUCCAUGGAAAUGGUGGAAAAGAGAAGAACAAUGAUUUUAUUUGUCAGAAGUGAGAGAGAUACAAUAAUAAGGAUAUGUAAUUUUAUAUGUAGGUUUAAGUUGGUUUCAAAAAUUUUAACUUUAAAGAGAGAUUCAAAUAUGUGGACUUGUCUCUGAAAUUAAGAAAAGUUAAGGUAACAGAAAUACAGAACUAAAGUUGUUAAGGGUUCAUUUUACUCAUGUGGUUCUGUUUGAGUGGUGGAUUGUUAAAGCUGGAAGUAAGGGUUUAAAUAUUAGGAAUGAUAAGUAUAAGUUUAGAUUGAUACUUGUUCAUAGGAGAAACUUCCUUGGUGUUUUAGUACUCACUGGUUAAAUAUGGGUAUGGGUUGGACAUGUGGUGUACCUGUGAAUUUUGGAGCUGGAGAGCUAAGUUUAAAUCUGUAUGAUGUCACAGAGAUAUUCCCCGCACUUUAAGCUGUGGAUGAAUUAUAAGAGUGAAUGUCAAUCUCUUAGUGUGGAUGGUAGGGUGUGCUGCUGCUGUCUUCCCUUUGUUCAGUAGUUAGAAAUUAGGGACAACAGCAUAUAGUCUUAUCUUAGUAGCUUUAUCAUAAACACAUAAUACUAAAAAUAUAAUUACCAGUUAAAUAUUAGUUUUAUGUAGUACACCUAAUGCACAAGUUUCAAUACAGUUAUAUUUUCAGAUUACAAUAUUUAUUGAAACUUUUCUGUGGAGUGUGUGAUGCGAGUGUGAAAUGAAUAAAUCAAACCUCAAAUUGUAGUUAAAGGACAGUACAAAUUAAACAUGACGUUGUGAAAAGCAAUCGAAAUGUAAACAGUCGCUAAGUGUGUUGUUAAUAAAUGGUGAAAAGAGAAGAUUUUGUAAGUUGGUAACAUCUGUUUAGGAGAAAUCGCAAUUUGCAAAAAAAGAGAAUUAAUAUACAGGUACAACACAAACUAUAUUGACUUGAUUUAAAGUACAAAACCUAACAAAGAAGAAAAAAAAUAAUAGCCUCAUUAAACCUUCUAAAGUUCGUGUAGUAUAAUUAUUUGAAUAUCAAAUGAUUGAUACCUGUCAUACCACAUGUCAUUAAAAAUGGAAGAUUGGAACAUGAUGAAACUGAAUAUUCUGAUUACUGAAAAAGUUUAAUUUAGCACAGGGUAGUUACAGCACAAGAUAUUGAAAGUAGUAGCUACCUCAAAC